rnacentral:lncRNA from 10 species
GAGAGAUGAAGUGGAAUAUAUGAUUGGAUAAGGACUUACAGGGAAGAGGGUGGUAGUUUACAUAUUAACUGUGGCUUCCCUGGAACUGCUAUGCUAGUAACAUGUUUUGGCUUACUCUUGAUCCUAUGAGGGCCAUAUAAUGAGGAUAGAAUUUGGGGCUUCAGUGUGGAAUAUAAAAUUCAAGUUCAGCAUCUAAUGGUUUUGUAAUUUAAGAAAAGCCCAUUGUGGUCUGCUUUUGAAAAGAAAAUAUUUGGUGACUUUCUAUUAAAAUGCAUUCUUGACCUAUAUGUUUAAUUUUCUUUAAUAUUUCUUUUUGGCUUUUUUUUUUUUUUUUUACUCCUGUUCUCAGAUGUUUUGGUUCUCUUUUGAUUAUAUGCCACAAACUGAAGCGUACUUUUC